UUUAAUGUCUUUGAUAUUGAUACCAAACAAUGUACUUAACACAACUUUCAUUUCUUUAAGGCUGAUAAAGAAUUUGUAUGGUCUUUGUGGAAACGUCUCCAAGUAACAAGCCCAGAUCUUACACAGGCUGUCAGUUUGGUUGUGGAAAGAGAAAAACAGAAAUCUGAAGCUAAAGACAGAAAAGUUCUAGAAAUUUUGCAGGUCAAGGAUGCAAAAAUACAAGAAUUGCAACAGGUUAACCUCGGACCGGACCAAAGUCUUGAAUUACAACCCAAAUGUGGGCUGCUGUGCGGCUGUAAGCAGAGACUCGUGAUGCCGGAAAAGCCUGUGUAAGCGUACGUAAGCAUCAGUCUGAGCCCAGGCGUGCAUGUUUGUGGAUGUGAUUUUGCUCAGUGCUGUAUAAAACUGCUGUGGUUACUGCUAUCAGGAUGGCCCCCAAAGAGCUAGAGAAGAAGCUGAGGAAGCAAGGGAAGGUAAA
rnacentral:lncRNA from 1 species